UCUAUCAAAAAUUUAAGCAGUUUGGAUUGCUCUACACCGUUAAACAAGCAAACGGCUCAUAUAGGCCGUCAAAAAUUGUCGAUUUUACGAUCCUUUGAUCACCAUGUAAACGAUUUUUAAAAUUUCUAAAAUUUAGUUUCUAGAUACUUCUAAUACUCUAGAUCAACUUUAAUGGAUCCGAUCAUCGAUUCGGCAUCUCUAUCAUCAAGAACGAUUUGAUAGGACGAUGGUCUCUAUUCUAU
rnacentral:lncRNA from 1 species